GAGUCUCCCGAGGCCUGUGUCCCGCGGCGGCCGCCGGUGGCCGUGGCUCUGGGGCCUGUUCUGAAGGCGGCGCACAUUUUCAGGAAUUUUUCAGGCUGCGCUGGGCAAUAAGACUGCCUUCUUCAACGUGGUGCUAUCUUAUGCUGAAUGUUUCGUUUUGACGUCCUAGAGCAAAGAAGAUUCAUGUAUGUUGGAAAAGACCUUCAAGAUUAUUGACUCCAACUAUAAUCCAACUACCACAACCACUAAACUACAUCCUGAAGUGCCACAUUGUCUGACACCUCCUCCCCUGUUAACCAGGACUGCUGAUAGAAGACGAAGAGUGGCUUGGCAAGCUCCUCUGCCGGCUCCCUCAGCACUCUCAGGAGAAUCCCAUCUGGCCCCAUAGACUAUCCAGGUGGCUUAACAGCUCAUUAACUGCUUUGUCCUGGGUUCUGGGGAGUUGCUGUUACUCUCCAUCCCUACCAGGAGGUUGAAUACCCCCUGAGAGCAGCACCAAGCCAUGGUGCUCCUCAAUCAGGCAGGACAGGGCAGCACGGGCUGGCUGCGGAGCAGAGCCCUGAGCCCCGAGGUGGCCAGGCCUGGGCUGAGCAGCCACUGAUGGGGCACCGGCUGGCCUGGACAGCCCCUGGCUGCAAACACCUCCCACAGAGCAGCUGCCCAGAUGCAGCCCUGGAGCUGAGCUGAGCUCCAUCUCAAGGGCAGAAAGACAGAGACAGCACCUGGGCUGCCUGGAGGGAGCCGCCAGCAUGAACAACCCACUCCUCCCUGGCCAUACCCAGCUCCCCCAAGGUGGCCCCACUGACCCCCAGCGACAGUGGACAUGAGCAGGAGCACAUCCGAGGUGAAGACAGUAAUGCCACCCACCCCCUUAGUGACACUCAGACGAGAAUUCUCCAGUCAUCCUCCACCCUCCCAAGUGAAGAGAAAAGGAGAAUAAGGAAGAGAGACUUAAGGGUUAGAAACUGAAACUGGAACAAAUUUAUUGUAAGAGAAAAGGGAGUAAGAGAAGAACAGGGAGUGUGGGGAAGGAUAGAUCUAUAAACUUACAUACAGAUAUAUACAAAACCAAUCUUGAUGAUUGCAGAAAUAGGUGGGUGAGAGCCCCUCAGGAGAGGGGUCCACAGCUCCUCAUGGCCCCUGGUAGAGUUGGAUUCUGGAGAGCACAUGGUGAAUUGAAGAACCUCUGAGCUGCAGCAGCAGCAGCAAGGAAAGAAACACAGGAAAAAGGGGCUGAGGUGGCCUAGGGCUGCUGGCAGCAUGGCCUCUUGCUGGGGUGGAUGGAGUCCUGGGGGCUGGGGGCCCUCCUCUUUGGGGGGCGCGGAGGACCCCCAGGCCAGAUGUCCCUGCCCCAGCCAGGGGCAGAGGGGCCUGCUGCUGCUGCAUCCCCCAGCUGCUGCUGGGGCUGCUCCUGCUCCACAGGGACAGGCGCAGGUGUGGGGCUGUCACUGGAGCUGGGGCUAGAGCUGGUCGUGAAGCCUGAGCUGUCAAUGGGGCU